AACAAACGCUGGCGGCGUGCCUAAUACAUGCAAGUCGAGGGGUAACAGGAAUAGCAAUAUUUGCUGACGACCGGCGCACGGGUGCGUAACACGUAUGUAAUCUGCCCAUCACUGGAGGAUAGCCCGGAGAAAUCCGGAUUAAUACUCCAUAACAGAAGACAAGGCAUCUUGUUUUUUUGAAAGCUCCGGCGGUGAUGGAUGAACAUGCGACUGAUUAGUUUGUUGGUGAGGUAACGGCUCACCAAGACUUCGAUCAGUAGGGGUACUGAGAGGUUAAACCCCACACUGGUACUGAGACACGGACCAGACUCCUACGGGAGGCAGCAGUAAGGAAUAUUGGACAAUGGCCGCAAGGCUGAUCCAGCCAUGCCGCGUGCAGGAAGACGGACCUAUGGUUUGUAAACUGCUUUUGAACGGGAGAAAACCCCCCUACGUGUAGGGGGCUGAUAGUACCGUUAGAAUAAGCAUCGGCUAACUUCGUGCCAGCCGCCGCCGUAAGAC
rnacentral:rRNA from 1 species